UUUCAGUGAUGCUUACAAAUGUCUGACCUGAAUUGUUUAUGUGGACAUUACCAAAACUGAGGAA